rnacentral:rRNA from 1 species
GCCUAAGACAUGCAAGUCGUACGAAGGGCCCAAUGAAAGAAUUGAAAUUCAGAGUGCUUGCACAAAGAAUGGAUUUUCUUGGAUUUGGAUUUUCCCCUUAGUGGCAAACGGGUGAGUAACACGUGGUUACCUACCUCUAAGAUGGGGAUAACAGUUGGAAACGACUGAUAAUACCGAAUGUGCUCUACGGAGUAAAGAAGCCUUUAAAGCUUCGCUUGGAGAUGGGCCUGCGGCGUAUUAGCUAGUUGGUGGGGUAAUGGCCUACCAAGGCAACGAUGCGUAGCCGAACUGAGAGGUUGAUCGGCCACACUGGGACUGAGACACGGCCCAGACUCCUACGGGAGACAGCAGUUAGGAAUAUUCGUCAAUGGAGGAAACUCUGAACGAGCAAUGCCGCGUGAACGAUGACGGCCCUAUGGGUUGUAAAGUUCUGUUGUUUGGAAAGAACGAUAGAUAGAGGAAAUGCUAUCUAUGUGACGGUACCAUUCAAGAAAGCCACGGCUAACUACGUG